GUAAUUACCUGGAGUUAUGACACCUGGUAAGCACACACUUAUAUAGACAGCUUGGACUCAUCAAGCUAGUCUGUGAUCCCAUCUUCACAUGCUAGGACUGGAUACACCACGCUUUGGACCAACAAACUUUCCCUUGUGGACACGUUUAACCGUGUCUUAUCUGGAGACUAUUCCUACAACUAAUAUCAUACUAACCAACAAGUUAUGCACCCCAAACUCCUCAGAAGAAGACCCUCAUAGGGGUUGAAACGCAUCAGGAAUCAUUUUGACUUGAAUAUUAACCAAUUAUGUUAAUUGAUGUCAUAUAUGUUGGUGCAACACUCUGUGUAUACAGUUUUAAUAUAAACCAGACCAGAACUUAUUGUUUUAUAUUUCCUCAUUAAUUAAACAAUUUCCCACCUUUUUACAUAA